UACAGGGGGGGCAAGCGUUGUUCGGAAUUACUGGGCGUAAAGGGUUCGUAGGUGGCCACUUAAGUCAGACGUGAAAUCCCUCAGCUUAACUGGGGAACUGCGUCUGAUACUGAGUGGCUUGAGUGCAGGAGAGGAAUGCGGAAUUCCAGGUGUAGCGGUGAAAUGCGUAGAUAUCUGGAGGAACACCGGUGGCGAAGGCGGCAUCCUGGACCAAUACUGACGCUGAGGAGCGAAAGCCAGGGGAGCAAACGGG
rnacentral:rRNA from 1 species